GUUAUAUGGUCAAGCGAAUAAGCGCACACGGUGGAUGCCUAGGCGGUCAGAGGCGAUGAAGGACGUGGUAGCCUGCGAAAAGUGUCGGGGAGCUGGCAACAAGCUUUGAUCCGGCAAUGUCCGAAUGGGGAAACCCACUGCUUCGGCAGUAUCCUGCAGUGAAUUCAUAGCUGCUGGAAGCGAACCCGGUGAACUGAAAUAUCUAAGUAACCGGAGGAAAAGAAAUCAACCGAGAUUCCCUAAGUAGUGACGAGCGAACGGGGAGCAGCCCUUAAGCUGGAAUGGCUUUAGAAAAACAAUCUGGAAAGAUUGGCCAUAGAAGGUGAUAGCCCUGUAUUUAAAAGGGCCACUCCAGUGAAGACGAGUAGGGCGGGGCACGUGAAACCCUGUCUGAAUAUGGGGGGACCAUCCUCCAAGGCUAAAUACUCCUGACCGACCGAUAGUGAACCAGUACCGUGAGGGAAAGGCGAAAAGAACCCCGGAGAGGGGAGUGAAAUAGAUCCUGAAACCGUGUGCGUACAAGCAGUAGGAGCUCGCAAGAGUGACUGCGUACCUUUUGUAUAAUGGGUCAGCGACUUACUGUUCGUGGCAAGCUUAACCGUAUAGGGGAGGCGAAGGGAAACCGAGUCUGAUAAGGGCGCAUAGUCGCGGGCAGUAGACCCGAAACCGGGUGAUCUAGUCAUGGCCAGGGUGAAGGUGCCGUAACAGGUACUGGAGGCCCGAACCCACGUCUGUUGCAAAAGACGGGGAUGAGCUGUGAUUAGGAGUGAAAAGCUAAUCGAACCCGGAGAUAGCUGGUUCUCCUCGAAAGCUAUUUAGGUAGCGCCUCAUAUGUAUCCUCUCGGGGGUAGAGCACUGUUAUGGCUAGGGGGUCAUCGCGACUUACCAAACCAUUGCAAACUCCGAAUACCGAGACGGACUGUAUGGGAGACACACGGCGGGUGCUAACGUCCGUCGUGAAAAGGGAAACAACCCAGACCCACAGCUAAGGUCCCAAAUUCACUGCUAAGUGGAAAACGAUGUGGAAAGGCAUAGACAGCCAGGAGGUUGGCUUAGAAGCAGCCACCCUUUAAAGAAAGCGUAAUAGCUCACUGGUCGAGUCGGUCUGCGCGGAAGAUUUAACGGGGCUAAGCAGUGAACCGAAGCUUGGGGUGCAUAAAACUUGUUUUAUGCGCGGUAGAGGAGCGUUCCGUAAGCCUGCGAAGGUGGAUUGAGAAGUCUGCUGGAGGUAUCGGAAGUGCGAAUGCUGACAUGAGUAACGAUAAUGCGGGUGAAAAGCCCGCACGCCGAAAGCCCAAGGUUUCCUUGCGCAACGUUAAUCGACGCAGGGUUAGUCGGUCCCUAAGGCGAGGGCGAAAGCCGUAGUCGAUGGGAAGCAGGUUAAUAUUCCUGCACCUCGCGUGAGUGCGAUGGAGGGACGGAGAAGGUUAGGUGUACCGGGCGUUGGUUGUCCCGGGGAAAGGCGGUAGGUUUGGAUCUUUGGCAAAUCCGGGAUCCUUUAAGACCGAGCACCGAGACGAGCCUUUAUGGCAAAGUCACUGAUACCACGCUUCCAGGAAAAGCUCCUAAGCUUCAGCUCACGAAGACCGUACCGUAAACCGACACAGGUGGGUAGGAUGAGAAUUCUCAGGCGCUUGAGAGAACUCGGGUGAAGGAACUAGGCAACAUGGCACCGUAACUUCGGGAGAAGGUGCACCCUUUUUGGUGGCUCGUGCGAGCUAUAGCUGAAGAGGGUCGCAGAAACCAGGCCGCUGCGACUGUUUAUCAAAAACACAGCACUCUGCAAACACGAAAGUGGACGUAUAGGGUGUGACGCCUGCCCGGUGCUGGAAGGUUAAUUGAUGGGGUCAGCCGCAAGGCGAAGCUCUUGAUCGAAGCCCCAGUAAACGGCGGCCGUAACUAUAACGGUCCUAAGGUAGCGAAAUUCCUUGUCGGGUAAGUUCCGACCUGCACGAAUGGCGUAACGACAGCGGCGCUGUCUCCACCCGAGACUCAGUGAAAUUGAAAUCGCUGUGAAGAUGCAGCGUUCCCGUGGCAAGACGGAAAGACCCCGUGAACCUUUACUAUAGCUUUACACUGAACGUUGAGUUCGUCUGUGUAGGAUAGGUGGGAGGCUAUGAAACUGUGGCGCUAGCUGCAGUGGAGCCAUCCUUGAAAUACCACCCUGUCGUGCUUGACGUUCUAACCUAGAUCCGUUAUCCGGAUCGGGGACCGUGUAUGGUGGGUAGUUUGACUGGGGCGGUCUCCUCCUAAAGAGUAACGGAGGAGCACGAAGGUACGCUCAGCGCGGUCGGACAUCGCGCACUGUGUGCAAAGGCAUAAGCGUGCUUGACUGCAAGAUCGACGGAUCAAGCAGGUACGAAAGUAGGUCUUAGUGAUCCGGUGGUUCUGUAUGGAAGGGCCAUCGCUCAACGGAUAAAAGGUACUCCGGGGAUAACAGGCUGAUACCGCCCAAGAGUUCAUAUCGACGGCGGUGUUUGGCACCUCGAUGUCGGCUCAUCACAUCCUGGGGCUGUAGUCGGUCCCAAGGGUAUGGCUGUUCGCCAUUUAAAGUGGUACGCGAGCUGGGUUCAGAACGUCGUGAGACAGUUCGGUCCCUAUCUGCCAUGGGCGUUGGAAGUUUGAGAGGGGCUGCUCCUAGUACGAGAGGACCGGAGUGGACGAACCUCUGGUGUUCCGGUUGUCACGCCAGUGGCAUUGCCGGGUAGCUAUGUUCGGAAGCGAUAACCGCUGAAAGCAUCUAAGCGGGAAGCGCGCCUCAAGAUGAGACUUCCCGGGGCACAAGCCCCCUAAAGGAACCAUGUAGACUACGUGGUUGAUAGGUCAGGUGUGUAAGUACAGCAAUGUAUUGAGCUAACUGAUACUAAUGAUCCGUGUGGCUUGACCAUAUAACCU
rnacentral:rRNA from 1 species